GACGAACGCUGGCGGCGUGCUUAACACAUGCAAGUCGAACGGAAAGGCCCUGCUUUUGUGGGGUGCUCGAGUGGCGAACGGGUGAGUAACACGUGAGUAACCUGCCCUUGACUUUGGGAUAACUUCAGGAAACUGGGGCUAAUACCGGAUAGGAGCUCCUGCUGCAUGGUGGGGGUUGGAAAGUUUCGGCGGUUGGGGAUGGACUCGCGGCUUAUCAGCUUGUUGGUGGGGUAUUGGCUUACCACGGCUUUGAAGGAUAGCCGGCCUGUGAGGGUGACCGGCCACAUGGGGACUGCGGUACGGCCCAGACGCCUACGGGGGGCAGCAGUGGGGAAUAUUACACAAUGGUCGGGAGUCUGAGGCAGCAGCGCCGCGUUCGGGAUGACGGCUCUCGGGUUGUAAACCGCGUUAGCCUGUGACGAAGCGUGAGUGACGGUAAUGGGUGAAGAAGCACCGGCUAACUACGUG
rnacentral:rRNA from 1 species